AAAGGAAGGACUGUGAGACCUCCCCACUGACAAAAACUACACGCCCGAGCGCACCCGAUUAAGGUUCGUCGCGAGUUUCAACCCACCGAAGUGCAAUGGUGAGCCUCUACCUGGGGUCAGAGCAUUUCAGAUCACCCUUAACCCGGCGCCAGGUAACAU
rnacentral:snRNA from 1 species